rnacentral:rRNA from 1 species
GACGAACGCUGGCGGCGUGCUUAACACAUGCAAGUCGAACGAUGAAGCCGGAGCUUGCUCUGGUGAAUUAGUGGCGAACGGGUGAGUAACACGUGAGUAACCUGCCCUUGACUCUGGGAUAACUGCGGGAAACUGUAGCUAAUACCGGAUACGACCCUCGGAGGCAUCUCCUGGGGGUGGAAAGAAUUUCGGUCAAGGAUGGACUCGCGGCCUAUCAGCUAGUUGGUGAGGUAAAGGCUCACCAAGGCGACGACGGGUAGCCGGCCUGAGAGGGGGACCGGCCACACUGGGACUGAGACACGGCCCAGACUCCGACGGGAGGCAGCAGUGGGGAAUAUUGCACAAUGGGCGCAAGCCUGAUGCAGCAACGCCGCGUGAGGGAUGACGGCCUUCGGGUUGUAAACCUCUUUUAGUAGGGAAGAAGCGAAAGUGACGGUACCUGCAGAAAAAGCACCGUCUAACUACGUGCCAGCCGCCGCAGUAA